AGCAGUCCACGGGAACACGAAGGGUGCAAGCGUUAAUCGGAAUUACUGGGCGUAAAGGGCGCGUAGGCGGAUAGUUUAGUCAGAGGUGAAAGCCCAGGGCUCAACCUUGGAACUGCCUUUGAUACUGGCUAUCUUGAGUUCGGGAGAGGUGAGUGGAAUGCCGAGUGUAGAGGUGAAAUUCGUAGAUAUUCGGCGGAACACCAGUGGCGAAGGCGACUCACUGGCCCGAUACUGACGCUGAGGCGCGAAAGCGUGGGGAGCAAACAGGAUUAGAUACCCCGGUAGUCCCUGUCUCUUAUACAC
rnacentral:rRNA from 1 species